UACGUAGGGUGCAAGCGUUGUCCGGAAUUAUUGGGCGUAAAGAGCGUGUAGGCGGCUUCACAGGUCCGCUGUGAAAACUCGAGGCUCAACCUCGAGCUGUCGGUGGAAACCGUGUGGCUAGAGUCCGGAAGAGGAGAGUGGAAUUCUUGGUGUAGCGGUGAAAUGCGUAGAUAUCAAGAGGAACACCUGCGGCGAAGGCGGGUUGCUGGGCCGACACUGACGCUGAAGCGCGAAAGCCAGGGGAGCGAACAGG
rnacentral:rRNA from 1 species